rnacentral:rRNA from 1 species
UACGGAGGAUGCAAGCGUUAUCCGGAAUCAUUGGGCGUAAAGCGUCCGUAGGUGGCGCAGCAAGUCUGUGGUCAAAGCACGAGACUUAACCUUGUAAAGGCCAUGGAAACUGCUGGAGCUAGAGUGAUGUAGGGGAGACUGGAAUUCCUGGUGUAGCGGUGAAAUGCGCAGAUAUCAGGAGGAACACCGGUGGCGAAGGCGGGUCUCUGGGCCGAUACUGACGCUGAGGAGCGAAAGCGUGGGGGAGCGAACAGG